UCUGAGGAAAGAGUUCCAGCAGUUAAAUCUCCUAAAGUUGGUGGGCCAGGCCAUGGACGUACUACACCCUUUACUGCCGAAGUCCUGACUGAUGAGGAAGUGGAAUCCGCUAUCGCUGUGUUGAGACAUUCUGCUGAUGAGGAAACCAUCCGUGAAAAAAUGAAAACCACCUUCAGUUACCGCCAAGCAAUGGUCAAUGACCAUGACAAAUCUGCAGAGGUCUUCUCAGUUUUUCCACGGUUCCUGGACACACCAGGACUGGUAGAGCAGGAUUUCAGACUGAUGUUUGGCGAGCAGACUGCCAAUAAAUUCCUGGAGAGAUGGCCUACCACUUUCAGGGCAAGAGUCAUU